ACAUGCUAAACCCCGCUCUGAAUAGAGCGAAGUACCGGCACUGGCGUGUGUGCGAUACCUAGCGUGGCCGAUACCGUCACGGUGGAAGAAAUGCGCUGCUUAAAUAAUAAAACAGUAAAACUGAAAGGCUGUUCUCAAAGUCAAGCGUUUUGCACCGUAACAUUGUCUUGAUCUUUGAAGGUGUUAAGAAUCCUAAACUUUGCUCAGUCUCCUAAACUGUUAUUAGUGUUGUGCAUCAUUAUUGAAAAAGAAAAUGAUUGACAAUCAUCCAUAAAAAUGUCAUAUUCCCUGUUCUUUGAUUAUCUGUGCCUGCCUAUCAGUGUUUCUCUGACUCAUUUGAUAAGGAUUAGUUAUCACUUGCACAUUUUUACUCUCUAAUUUACUGGUGUAAUUUAACUUAUGGGCCAACUUUGUUUUUUGACUGGAAUUUCCUGGAAUCCUGUGUUCUACAGAAAGGCAAAACUGGUUUUCCUGCAAUGUUCAAUAGAUUGCUGUGGCUUUAUACUCUUUAUUAAAAUAAUACUGUAUAUGCUUA